AUGAGCGGUGGUGAUGGUCGGCGACGGAGACCGUCGGCCGGAGGAGGUGGCGUCGGCGGCGUCGGCGGCAGCUGGGGCGGUCGGAGGUCUGGAUCUUCGGCGGCAAAGGAACAGCGGACACGGCUGGGCGCGGAGGAGCUCCUCGAGGGCCGGCUUGGCUUCGCGCCCUACACCCAAGGCGACCGCCGGCUUGGCUGGCUCCUCACCUUCUCCCCCUCAUCAUGGGAGGAUGAGGAUACAGGGAAUAUCUACAGCUGUGUUGACCUGUACUUUGUGUCCCAGGAUGGUUCUACAUUUAAAGUGAAGUACAAAUUCCCGCCUUAUUUUUAUGCUGCAACUAAGGAGAAGACGGAGUUGGAAGUUGAGGCGUAUCUCAGGCGACGUUAUGAAGGGGAAAUCGCUGAUAUAGAAAUAAUUGAAAAAGAGGAUCUGGAUCUUAAAAACCACCUUUCUGGUUUGAAGAGAAAAUAUUUGAAGAUUCAGUUCGAUACCGUGCAGCAAUUAAUGCGUGUAAGGAGUGAUCUAAUGCAUGUUGUUGAAAAGAAUGAAGAAGAAAGAGAUGCCGUGGAUGCAUUUGAAUCAAUUUAUGGUGUAAAAAGGGUAGAAAGGCCACAAGAUUACAUAAACUGCAUCAUCGAUUUGCGUGAAUACGAUGUUCCCUAUCAUGUUCGUUUCGCUAUAGAUAAUGAUGUGAGAUCUGGACAGUGGUAUAAUGUUGGUGUAUCUGGUUCUGAUGUUUUGCUUCAGAGAAGGGAAGAUCUGCUUCAGCGUGCAGAAGUUCAUGUAUGUGCAUUUGAUAUUGAGACCACAAAGCUUCCCUUGAAGUUUCCAGAUGCUGAAUACGACAGUGUAAUGAUGAUCUCCUACAUGAUAGAUGGGCAAGGGUACUUGAUAAUCAACCGAGAGUGUGUAGGGGAAGACAUUGAAGAUUUGGAAUACACACCUAAACCAGAAUUCGAGGGGCAUUUUAGAGUUAAGAAUGUCGCAGACGAGGUGGGUCUACUUAAAGCUUGGUUUUCUCACAUGCAAGAGGUUAAACCUGGUAUUUAUGUUACGUACAACGGUGACUUUUUUGACUGGCCGUUUUUGGAGAAGAGAGCUGCCCACCAUGGGAUAAAAAUGAAUGAGGAGAUUGGUUUCCAAUGCGACAGUAAUCAAGGUGAAUGCCGAGCUAAAUUUUCCUGUCAUCUUGACUGUUUUGCCUGGGUGAAGCGAGACAGUUACCUUCCACAGGGAAGCCAAGGUCUAAAGGCUGUUACAAAAGCCAAGCUUGGUUAUGAUCCUCUGGAGGUCAAUCCAGAAGAUAUGGUUCGCUUUGCAAUGGAGCAGCCACAGACAAUGGCUUCUUAUUCUGUAUCAGAUGCUGUUGCCACAUACUACUUAUACAUGACUUAUGUCCAUCCAUUUAUCUUCUCCCUUGCGACCAUAAUACCUAUGUCACCUGAUGAGGUGUUGCGGAAAGGAAGUGGGACUCUAUGUGAAAUGCUGCUAAUGGUCCAGGCAUUCCAGGCUAAUAUCAUUUGUCCUAACAAGCACCAAGCUGAUCUGGAGAAGUUUUACAAUAACCGUCUAGUAGAAAGCGAAACAUACAUCGGUGGUCAUGUUGAGUGUCUUGAAACUGGUGUAUUUAGAUCUGAUCUUCCUACAAAAUUUCAGCUGGAACCCUCAGCAUUUGAGCAACUAAUUGAAAACCUUGACCGUGAUCUGCAAUAUGCCAUUGCUGUAGAAGGAAAAUUGGAUAUUGAUUCUGUCACAAAUUAUGAUGAAGUCAAGGAUGCCAUAAAGCAAAAGCUUGUUUCAUUGCGAGACCACCCAACUCGUGAAGAAUGCCCUCUUAUAUAUCAUCUGGAUGUUGCUGCAAUGUAUCCAAAUAUCAUUUUGACAAAUAGGCUCCAGCCACCAUCCAUAGUUACAGAUGUGGACUGCACAGCAUGUGAUUUCAAUCGCCCUGGAAAGAAUUGCCUUAGAACGCUCGAAUGGGUCUGGCGAGGAGAAACCUACACGGCAAAAAAGAGUGACUAUCAUCAUAUAAAGAGGCAAAUUGAGUCAGAGAUGAUUCAAACUGGUGGGGUUACAUCUUCAAAGCCUUUCCUCGACCUCUCAAAACCAGAGCAUUUACUAAAGCUGAAGGAUCGUUUGAAGAAGUACUGCCAGAAGGGGUACAAAAGAGUAGUUGACAAACCAAUUACAGAAGUUAGAGAAGCUGGAAUAUGCAUGCGUGAAAAUUCUUUCUACGUAGAUACAGUGCGAAGCUUUCGUGAUAGAAGGUAUGAAUACAAAGGCCUGAAUAAAACAUGGAAAGGAAAACUAUCAGAAGCAAAAGCCAGUGGAAAUUCUAUCAAAAUUCAGGAAGCACAGGACAUGGUUGUGCUAUAUGAUUCUUUGCAACUUGCUCACAAGUGCAUAUUAAAUUCUUUUUAUGGAUAUGUUAUGCGCAAGGGUGCAAGAUGGUACUCUAUGGAAAUGGCUGGUGUUGUAACAUAUACUGGUGCAAAAAUCAUCCAAAAUGCUCGAUUACUUGUAGACAAAAUUGGAAGACCACUGGAACUCGACACAGAUGGCAUUUGGUGUGUUUUGCCUGGUUCUUUCCCAGAGAAUUUUACUUUCAAGACAAAAGCUGAGAAGAAGCUCACAAUAUCUUAUCCAUGUGUGAUGCUUAAUGUUGAUGUUGCAAGAACCAACACCAAUGAUCAAUAUCAAACAUUGAAAGAUCCUGUAAGCAAGCUAUACACAACAAAUAGUGAAUGCUCCAUCGAGUUUGAGGUAGAUGGACCAUACAAGGCCAUGAUUCUACCUGCCUCUAAAGAGGAAGGGAUUCUGAUAAAGAAGAGGUAUGCUGUCUUCAACGAAGAUGGCACCCUGGCAGAACUUAAAGGCUUCGAGAUUAAGCGUCGAGGUGAGCUGAAGCUCAUCAAAGUUUUUCAGGCGGAGGUAUUCGAUAAAUUUCUCCAUGGCUCUACUUUAGAGGAGUGCUAUGCAGCUGUUGCCUCUGUUGCUAACCGCUGGUUAGAUCUACUGGACAAUCAAGGAAUUGAUAUUUCUGACAGUGAGUUGCUUGGGUUCAUAUCGGAGUCAAGCACAAUGAGUAAGUCCCUUGUUGACUAUGGAGAACAGAAGUCAUGUGCUGUAACUACAGCAAAAAGACUUGCAGAAUUCCUUGGAGAUUCAAUGGUUAAAGACAAAGGACUGCACUGCCAAUAUAUAGUUGCCCGAGAGCCACAAGGCACCCCAGUGAGCGAGCGUGCUGUUCCGGUGGCUAUUUUUGAGACAGAUGCUGAGGUCGCAAAGUUCUAUUUAAGAAAAUGGUGCAAAGUCUCCACGGAAGCAAACAUCCGAUUUAUUCUUGAUUGGUCUUACUACAAGCAGCGCCUAAGCUCGGCUAUUCAGAAGAUCAUAACUAUUCCUGCAGCGAUGCAAAAGAUUUCAAAUCCUGUUCCCCGAGUUCUUCAUCCUGAUUGGUUGCAUAAAAAGGUCAGAGAGAAGGAUGACCGAUUUCGUCAACGCAAACUACGUGAUAUGUUCAGUCCCUUGAAUAAAGACAUGGGGAUGCAUAACUUGAAUGGAACUGGAGACAUAGAAGAUUUGUUAACAUCAGACAAAGGUUUGAGAAAAGCUACUGCAUCCCAUGGUUUUAACAUCGGCAAAGAAAAUCAUCCAAAUGGGUCACCAUCAGCAAAAGCUAGUUUGGGUCAUUGCAAAAACCAGCAAAAAUCUGUAAUCAGGUCAAAUGAACCACUCCGAGAUGACUCUGCUGAUGAAAUAGUUGAUAGAAGUACUGAUUAUCAAGGAUGGCUUGAGGCCAGGAAGAGAAAAUGGAAAUAUGUCCGUGAACAGAAGAAACGUCGAAGGUUGGGUGCUGCAGCCUCUUCUGAGGGUCCCAGUAAUAAUUUGUUUUCUGCAAGAAAUGACAGUCAGUUACAUGGCAAUGGUAGGAAUCGGUCUACAUUUUUCCAGAAACAAGAAUUGUCCCUCUUUAGAUCACAUUGGCAGAUAAUCCAGCUUGCUCCAAGUACAUUGCCUGGCCGUUUUUUUGCAUGGGUUGUUGCUGAGGGGAUCAUGUUCAAGAUUCCCAUCAAUGUGCCUAGAGUUUUCUACCUAAACUCAAAAGCUCCUAUCACAGAUGAGUUUCCAGGAAGGCGUGUAAAGAAGAUUCUUCCUCAUGGAAAACCAUCUUUCAAUCUCAUCGAGGUUGUAACUAGUGAAGAACAGUUCAGGGCUGAAGGAAGAAAACUUGCUGCUCAUCUUGCAGAGCCAGAUGUUGAAGGCAUAUAUGAGACGAAAAUUCCACUGGAGCUAAAUGCUAUUCUCCAAAUUGGUUGUGUCUGCAAAGUGGACAAAUCUGCGGAGAAACGAAAUAUCCAAGAUGGAUGGGAUCUUGCUGAGUUGCAAAUGAAAACAACUGCAGAGUUCUCAUACCUGGAACAAACAGUUUCAUUUUUCUAUCUAUACCACAGUGUGUCUGAAGGAAGGGCUGUAUAUGUCAUGUACUUCCCUACAUCUCUCAGAGUACAUGCAGUGGUUAUCAAUCCUUUCCGUAAUAAAGAACUGUCACCUGCGUUUCUUGAAAAGCAAUUUCGGGAUGCUUGCCAGACUCCUGACCCUUUGCAUGAAAAUCUCACUUUCCAGGUGGACUACCACACAUCAAUGGAUGCAGGUAGCAAAUAUGUGCAACGAAUGUUACUUGAGUACAGACAACAACAUCCUGGACCUGUCAUAGGCAUCAUUGAAUGCCCUAAACUCCAAGCUAUAAGGGAAUCUGUACGUGCACUUGAUGAUUUCCCGUGUGUAACCAUUCCUUGCAAUGCACGGGAUAACAACUAUCAGGCUCUUGGUUGGCAAGCGACAGCUGGUAGAACAAGCAUGCAGCGCUGUGCUGCAUCAACUCAAUGGUUCAAUGAAAGAAUUUCACUUGCUAGAUAUGCACAUGUGCCAUUGGGAAACCUUGAACUUGAUUGGCUUCUUUUUACUGCUGAUGUGUUCUUCUCAAGGGCAUUGCAUGAUCAACAACAGGUACUAUGGAUAUCUGAUGAUGGUAUUCCUGAUUUAGGCGGCACAUAUGAAGGAGAUACAUGCUUUGCUGAUGAAGUCAUACAACCUGCACUAACAUAUCCUGGCGCUUAUAGGAGGAUUUCUGUUGAGCUUAAGAUUCAUCAUUUGGCGGUUAAUUCUCUCCUUAAGAGUAGUCAAGUGGAUGAAAUGGAAGGAGGAUCUAUCGGCAACUUUGAAAAUGACAUUCCUCCUGGUCCAAAUGCCACCGAAACUGACUAUAAUGACGCCAGCUUGUGUCUACCUGCUUUCCAAGUGCUGAAGCAACUCAUUCAAAGAUGCAUCUCGGAUGCAGUGUCUUCUGGAAAUGUAUUUGCUGAUGCGAUAUUGCAACAUCUCUACCGUUGGCUUUGCAGCCCACGAUCAAGACUUCAUGACCCAGCUCUCCAUCGCCUCCUUCAUAAUGUCAUGAAGAAGGUCUUUGCUCUAUUGUUAGCUGAGUUUCGAAAGCUUGGAGCUAAUGUUAUCUUUGCAAACUUUUCUAAGAUAAUCAUAGAUACCGGAAAAGUGGACUUGCCGUCAGCACGUGCAUACUGUGAUAGCUUGCUGAAAACCUUACAGACAAGGGAUCUUUUCGAGUGGAUAGAACUGGAACCUUUGCACUAUUGGCACUCCUUACUGUUCAUGGAUCAGUACAACUACGGUGGGAUUCAGGCCAAAACACAAAAUGUAACAUCUGCAGACAGUUCAGACGGUGAUGAUGAUAUUGACAUCGUGUCAAGCUGGAAUAUAGCAGAAUACUUGCCCAAAGCUACACAGGAUCACUUUGUCUUGAUCGUAUCGGAGUUCCUAUAUGUUCCAUGGAAAUACAUGAAAGAACAAGUAGCUUGCCGAGCAGCUAUGAGGGAUGACACCUCAUGCACUCCAUCUAUAACAAUCAUGGCUGCUGAGAAUCUUGAGGGACAGGUCGUUGAUUACCUCCGUGGGCAGAUCGGCACUUAUUUUGCGGAAAAGCUUCUCACAAUUGUGAGCGAUAUACUUCUCCAUUUCAAAGGAAAAGGCAAGUCUGAAUCAGUUGGACCUUCAAAUAGUGAACUUGAUCCUCACUUACAUAAAGGCGGUGCUGCAUUGGAGUUCAUUAAACAUAUAUGUGCUGUUCUUGCUCUCGAUCAGAAUGUUCAGCAUGAUAUUCUGAGAAUGCGAAAGAACUUGUUGAAGUUGGUGCGCGUAAAGGAAUUUGCUCCAGAAGCACAGUUCCAAGAUCCCUAUGCCUCAUUCAUCCUUCCAAACGUGAUUUGCAGCUAUUGCAACGAUUGCCGGGACCUUGACCUCUGCCGCGACUCGACGCUGCAAGGCCACGAGUGGAGGUGCGCGGUGCCGCAGUGCGGGCAGCCGUACCACCGGGAGGAGAUGGAGAACGCGCUGCUGCAGAUUGUGCGGCAGCGAGAGAGGCUGUACCACCUGCAGGACCUGGUGUGCGUCCGGUGCAGGCAGGUGAAGGCGGCCCAUGUGUCAGAGCAGUGCAACUGUGGAGGGUCGUUCCGGUGCAAGGAGGAGGCGCCGCAGUUCCUUGGCAAGAUGCGGGUCUUCCUGAACGUCGCGGUGAGCCAGAAGUUCGAGCUGCUCCAGGAUUGCGUCCGAUGGAUCCUGGAGGUCAGGUGA
rnacentral:rRNA from 1 species